GUUCGUGUAGUUGAAUAGCAACGGUGGUUUUGCAAACCAUUAGUUUUGGUUAAAGUCCUAACAGGAAUU
rnacentral:tRNA from 1 species